CAGUCGCCGCGGGAAUACGAAGGGGGCUAGCGUUGCUCGGAAUGACUGGGCGUAAAGGGCGCGUAGGCGGAUCACGCAGUCAGAUGUGAAAUUCCUGGGCUUAACCUGGGGGCUGCAUUUGAGACGCGUGGUCUAGAGUGUGAAAGAGGGUCGUGGAAUUCCCAGUGUAGAGGUGAAAUUCGUAGACAUUGGGAAGAACACCGGUGGCGAAGGCGGCGACCUGGUUCAUGACUGACGCUGAGGCGCGAAAGCGUGGGGAGCAAACAGGAUUAGAGACCCCCGUAGUCCCUGUCUCUUAUAC
rnacentral:rRNA from 1 species